GAUGAACGCUGGCGGCGUGCUUAAUACAUGCAAGUCGAGCGAACGGACGAUAAGCUUGCUUCUCUGAUGUUAGCGGCGGACGGGUGAGUCACACGUGGAUACCCUACCUAUAUGGCUGGGAACACUUCGGGACACCGGAUCUUAUCCCGUAUAAUAUUCUGAACCGUAGGGUUCAUAAGUAAAAUACGGUCUUGCUGUCACUUAUCGAUGGAUCCGCGCUGCAUUAGCUAGUUGGUAAGGUCACGGCUUAUCAAGGCAACGAUGCCUAGCCGACGUGAGAGGGUGGUCGGCCACACUGGAGCUGGAACACGGACCAGAGUACUAAGGGAGGCAGCAGUAGGGAAUCGUACGCAGUGGGCGGAAGCCUGACGGAGCAACGCCGAGUGAGUGAUGAAGGUGUUCGGAUCGUGAAACUCGGUUAUUAGGGAAGAACAGAUGUGUAAGUAACUGUGCACAUCUUGACGGUACCUAAUAAGGAAGCCACGGCUAACUACGUG
rnacentral:rRNA from 1 species